UACGGGGGGUGCGAGCGUUGUCCGGGAUCACUGGGCGUAAAGGGCGCGUAGGUGGUCUGAUAAGGGUGUGGUGAAAGCCCGGGGCUCAACCCCGGGUCGGCCGUGCCGACUGUUAGACUAGAGUGCUGUAGGGGCAGGCGGAAUUCCGGGUGUAGCGGUGGAAUGCGUAGAGAUCCGGAGGAAGACCGGUGGCGAAGGCGGCCUGCUGGGCAGUUACUGACACUGAGGCGCGACAGCGUGGGGAGCAAACAGG
rnacentral:rRNA from 1 species